rnacentral:rRNA from 1 species
UGGGGAAUAUUGCACAAUGGGCGCAAGCCUGAUGCAGCCAUGCCGCGUGUAUGAAGAAGGCCUUCGGGUUGUAAAGUACUUUCAGCGGGGAGGAAGGGAGUAAAGUUAAUACCUUUGCUCAUUGACGUUACCCGCAGAAGAAGCACCGGCUAACUCCGUGCCAGCAGCCGCGGUAAUACGGAGGGUGCAAGCGUUAAUCGGAAUUACUGGGCGUAAAGCGCACGCAGGCGGUUUGUUAAGUCAGAUGUGAAAUCCCCGGGCUCAACCUGGGAACUGCAUCUGAUACUGGCAAGCUUGAGUCUCGUAGAGGGAGGUAGAAUUCCAGGUGUAGCGGUGAAAUGCGUAGAGAUCUAGAGGAAUACCGGUGGCGAAGGCGGCCCCCUGGACGAAGACUGACGCUCAGGUGCGAAAGCGUGGGGAGCAAACAGG